CUUCACUUACUACUACUACUACUACUACUACUACUACUACUACUACUACUACUACUGCUACUACAUUCACAACCCACUCAGCAAGGUCUGGCUUUAAUUACUACUACUACUACUACUACUACUACUACUACUACUACUACUACUACUACUACAUUCACAACCCACUCAGCAAGGUCUGGCUUUAAUUACUAUUACUACUACUACUACUACUACUACUACUACUACUACUACUACUACUACUACUACUAC